rnacentral:lncRNA from 1 species
CUCAGAUUCUAAAAUUAAACACUUAUUUCCUUAGCUUUCUAAAUUCUGGGUCGACCUGGUUCAUUUUCCUCGAAUUAUUAGGACGACAGGGCAGGAGCGUGGCAGGUGGGCGAGUCAGCACGCGGGGACAGUCCUUAUGCUUCCGGUCUGUGCCGUGAUGGCCCGGGGCGUGGUGGGUCGUCCCCCUGCAGACCCCUCGCCGGUGGCACCGGGGAAAAAGCCAGGAGCCGGGCCUCACCUUUGGGAAGAGCCUCUCAACGGAGCCGGAGCUGGGCCUCGGUCAUCCGGAGAGGGCCACGCAGCGGCCGCCACAGGAGCCGGGAGCCGGGGCUCUGGGGCCCCACUGUGGAAACGCGCGGGACCUCGACAGCCAGGCCAUCAGCUGUCUGCCCUUCCCCUUGGACUCCCGGGUGGGCUCCAGGUUUUCCGUCACUGUGGCACAGACACGACACGCCUACCGCCUUCCGCCCGGUGACUCUGUUCCAGCCGGAGAUGCUGGGUACCUGUGUGCCCGUCAUGCCGGGUGACCCGGGUCCCGCUGGCCGGUCCACUCCCGGGUGCUCCCACGGGAACAAGAAAUCGGGUUUGAGCCAACCUGCCUUUUGCUGUUACCAUUACAGGGCUGGCCCGUCCGAGCAGGGCCCGGCCUGGGCCUGGCCGACCUCCUCGGGCACACGAUGCUUCCCGCUGCAGGCCGCGCCGUCCUCCCACUCCUCCACACUGUCCUCCCCCUGCGGAGGGGGAGCCCCGAGGGGAUGCCAUCACGGGGAGGCCGGUCACCUUCCGCAAAGAUGGCCCAGGCGUCUGCAGUGGGUUGAUCAUUGAUCUGAGUGCCUCUCUCCCUGUUCCCCCCAGCCUGCGCCCAUCGCUGCCCCUGGCCACGGCCCCCCAUGGGCCCUGCACGCGCCCGACCCCCUGAGUUUUGAGCCAUGGUUAAUAAAAACAAGCAGAAGGCAGAGGUGGAUUAAAGGACACGUGUCGCAGAGAAGCAAACUCGGAGCCCUCUCUGUAGGUCCGAUGUGGGCCCUGCUGGGAGGUGGCGGGUUUGGCUUUCCGCCCCUCUCCCGGGGACGCUCACGCCCUGCGCGCCCACCCUGGGGUGUUGAGGAC